rnacentral:lncRNA from 1 species
CGAAAUUAAGGGAUCAACACCCGGUGUAGCCCGAUUCAGGAUGUCUUCCACGAGUUGGAAAAGAGGCUUAACAUCAAACUCUCGGCCAUCAGGAGCAUGGGUUGCGUGAAUUUGUUUCACCAUCAUGUUGUCAUCAGACAUGGUUAUCAUGCUCCUAUCAUGCUUGAUCAGUUUUUGUAAGGGAACUGGGUUGAUUUUGGUGGUUUCUGCGGGCUUCAACACUUGCUGCAGCGGAGCUGGGUUGAUCGCUUGCUGCAUCGGAGAUGGGUUGUUCACUUGCUGCAUGGGAGUUGGGUUACUGAGUUCUUUGGCCAUUUGCUGCAAUGGACCUUAGAUGGCUUUGUUGGUAGUCACCGUUUUGGGUAUGCAAAAGAAGGCAAGUAGCUAAGAUUUUGAGUCAGAACGGAAGAGGAGAAGAUGGCUUGUGUUCCUUUUGCAGACUGCUUGCCCUUUAUAUACCCUUCACAAACGAAUAAAGCGAGCCUCACUGAAUCUAACUCUUUACUUCCGCCAUAAUUAAAAUUCAGGUACUUUGGACCAAGACUUGCUUUCGUGACUGAUCAUCUUCUUGUUUCACGAUUUUAUUCUUUUGGGUGGUCCCAGAAGCAGCAGUUACUUCUGAAUCAAAAGAGAGAUCUGGGUCCCGCGAAUUUUCUUAUUCCUCGUAGAAUUUAUACAAACUGCAAACGCUACAAUGAAAAUUCAAAACCAUGAAGCUUCAUUUCAUGGCACUUUCAUAAAGCGUCAUGAUUUAGCUUAUAAUGGGAUAUACAAUGGUGCUUACUAAAAGCACAUUGUUUAAUUUAAUUUUCUUAAUAUUAUUAUACUUAUUAUAAGCGUUAUUAUUUGAUGUGACCUUUUAACUUAUAAUUGGGAAUACAAUAGUGCUUAUCGGAGGUGUCUUAGUUUUAUUAUUCAACCUUGGUGCUUUUUCAAAGUUCAAUAUAGUAACACAAACCUUUAUGCCAUGUUAAUUAUCUUCUACUUUAUUUACCCUCAAUAUCCAUUUAAAAAAUAUUCAUAAACCUCAUCCCUCAAAUCCCACCAUUAGACUUGACAAACCCUAGAUAUUUGAGGACCUUACUAUUGAUGUGUUAAUGUAUUGCAGUUUGUUUUUUGAUAUUUUAACCGUGGUUAAGUUAUCUUUUUGAUCUAUGGCUAUAAUACUAACAGAUGGAGGGCUUGGAUAGAAGAGAGAAGUGUGUUGAGCAAGCUUCUUAUUUUUGUAUCUAAAAAAAUCUGAAAAUAUGAGAAGUAGCAGUUCACGUUGCCUUUAUGUGCCUUGGUUUUACUUUGCUCUGUGUUUUUUCUUGUUUCUUUCUCUACAGAUUUGCAGGCCUUCAUUUAUGCGGAGAACCAGUAGCUUGUUCAAGGGUAGCAUCAACAGCAGACCAUCCAACACUUACACAUACUCAUAACUCCAAAAUGCAAAUGGUCGAUGAGCUACCAUAGGAAAUCUUCACUGACACUUCCUAACCAACACUCACCAUCCUCACCCUUAAUCAGUGAGCCUCCACAAACAACUAGAAGCUUAAAAGCUAUUGAGAUUUUUGGACCCCACACAAAAGCUGUUGUUUGUUUUAUAAUGUUCUAAUGAGAAGUCUGGAAUUCAAUUUUUUCCCCUUCAAAUUUUCUUUUGAAAAUUUCUCUAACCUAAACCUCUGUUACUUUGUGUAUGUUCUAUUUAGAUCUUAUUUUUGGAUUCUUUUGUAUAAAUUUAUAAUGUUUUAGACUCAGAAAUGUAGGGAAAUGAACUAUUUUUGUUUUUGCUCUGUUAUUGCUUCCCUUUUGCUUAUGCCAUUUAAGUUUAUAUUUUCAUGAUUUUGAUCUCAGAAAGCGGUGUUUAAGAUUCAUAGAUGACGGUUGACUGCAUAAAAGUUGUUGGCUAUUUACUGGACUUAAGUAGUGGAGAUUUAUUUUGAUUACUUUUAUUUUCCAAUGAUUUCUUACUAUCCAAGCAAAGUUUAAUAUUAAGAAAUUUGAUUGCUUCAUACCAUGUAGUUUAGUAUUUCAAGUUUUAUGGUUUAGACUGUUAUUAUUGUUUUAUAUUAGAUGUAUUUAAAGAAACUGGUUGCAUCUGAACCUAGUUAUGGUAAGGUGUAUUCCAAUUAGAAAAUUAGAAAAGUACGUAUGAGAGUAGAUCAUGAAGACCGGUACUAAUUCCUUUGUUUAUUUCAUUAAUGGUUAUGGAAUGACAUAAAUUUUGCGAUAUUGUUUGGUAUUAUUGUAUAUAUAAGAGGGUGAUUGGGACUGCCAAACGAUCAACUAAGGGAGUCUGGACAGAGCAAAAGGUUAGAAAUUAAAGGUUCUUAUAGGGUUUAUGGCUUUCUGUUGUGUAGUUUUGGGUGUUGGGCUAGUUAUUUGAACAACUUUGAAAUGGGGUUGUGAUGAAUGGUUCUUUGCAUUUACUUGUUAUUUGAACUACUGUGAAAUGAAGAUUAGAUGAAUGACUUCAUAUGCAUUCUUUUUCCCCAUUAACAGGAUCAAGUAUUAGUCUAUGUUGUCAAAAAGUACAAUGGAAAUAACUGGAAAAAAAUUUGGUGCAUAUAACAUUAUUGCUUUCCACUCAUAAGGGUUCCUCAGUAGCAGAAUCUAUCUGAUUAGCUUUGUAAUUCAUAAACAUACCAGUAGCCGGGGAAUAAAUUAGUGUUAAUUAAGUUUUUCAGAAAAAAUUAUUUUCAUAAUAUUUUUUAGGCUGGCCAAUUUCGCUCAGUCUGUUUCUUUCAACUGUCAAUUUGCGACAAACUUGUCACCUUGUGCAACCAAAUAUGUCACUGGCACAAUAGAGAAAUCUUCUCUUGUUUGUGUCUAAGCUUUUUUUAUAGCCUUUUAAUCCAGAUAGCUUCCUUACAAGCCUGUGUAGCUGCCAUGUACUUUGCUUCUGUUAUAGAUAGAGCCACAAUAGUUUGGAGUUUUGAAACCUAGCUCACAACUCCUCUUGUAAGUGUAAACAAAUAGCUCGUAGUAGAUUUAUUCUUAUCAAGAUAACCUGCAAAGUCUGAAUCAACAUAACUAAUACUUUGAUGUAUCUAAGGAUCCUCUUAACUAUAUUUCAAUGCUCUCUCCCCAAAUUUGCCAUGAAUCGACUUAUCACUCCCACUACUUGUGCAAUGUUUGGUUUUGUACAAAUCAUAGAAAACAUUUCCCAUUGCUGAUGCAUAUGGUGUUUGAGAUAGUUUCAUCCACUCCGCUUUAUUACUAGGACUCAUACUUAAGGAUAAUUUGUAAUUUACAAGAAGUAAGGUAGAAACUGGUUAAUUUACAAUCAUGCAUGUUAAGACGAUGUAAAAAAAUUUUCAAAUAGCUUUUUUGUGAGAGUCAAAUCUUCUUGUUUUGUCUAUCUUGGCAAAUUUGCAUCCCUAGAAUUUUGUUUGUUGGUCCUAGAUCCUUCAUCUUAAAUAUCUUAGCCAAUUGUGCCUUUAAUUCUUAGACUCAAUCUUUGUUGGGGUUUUCAACCAACAUGUAAUCACGUAUAACAACAAAAUAAUAAAAUCAUCACCCUCAAACCUCUUGUAAUAUAUACAAUGAUAUGAAUUGAGUCUAUUGUACCCAAGGCUCAAUAUGAAGGAAUCAAAUCUCUUGUACCCACAUUUUGACACUUAUUUUAUACCAUACAAAGAUUUAGUUAAUCUGCAAACCAAGUUCUCUUUCUCAUUUUCUUCAAAGCCUUUCAGGCAUAUAAAUUUCUUCUUGAAACUCUCCAUGAAGAAACGCAAUUUUCACAUCUAACUACUCAAAGUGUAAAUCCAAUCCAGCACACAUAGCUAAGACUACUCAAAUUGAUGUAAAUUGAACAAUUGGAGAAAAUCACUCAUUGAAAUCAAUACCUUCUUUCUAAGCAUAUUCUUUAACCACGAGUCUUGCACAAUACUUCUCCACUUGGUCAUUGCUGUCAUGUUUGAUCUUAUAGACCUACUUAUUUCCAAUAAUUUUUCUUCCAAGUGGUGGGGGCACAAAUUUCCAUGUCUGGUUCUUAUGCAAGGAUUUAACCUUCUCUUGCUUUGUUGUCAUCCAUAGGAUGGGUGCCAAUUCUCGUUUUGAUUCCAUUUAUUCUCUCUAUUCAUUUCUCCUGGAAUGACCCAACUCCUUCGCUCCAUCUCUCUCUCGUGAAGGGUUCAAGGUUUUCUUCGCUACUUCAGAUCUUGCAGCAGCUCGAAUCCUCACCGACAUUGGAGCGCUCUCACCUCUCAACUCUCAAUUCUCAAUUCUCAAUUCAAUCGCAUCUCCGCAUUAGAUUUCGAUUCUGGAUCGUCGACCUAGCCGUCAUGGUUGUCGCAAUCGCCACUAUCACCGCCGGAGGUGCCUCUUUGGAUAUUUUUCUCUUUUCCGGCACUGUUUGUACAUUCCCAAACAAGAUGUGUUUUGACGAGGUGUACGGCGUCAAAGCUCGACAACGAAGACUUUGUGCAGCAGUGCAAGGAGUGGCGAUGCCUCAUGAAGGAGGGUCAUCUACGUCCACCAUCACCGUGCCACCGUUCACGCUGACUACUAUCGUUCGUUUAGCAUCGCUGGAUCUGCUCUCUCCAACCGCCGCCCCCUACACCAACGUUCAGUCUCAAUUUCCUCUCAUCUUAAUAGAGCUCACUACUGUUAUAGAAUCGCUGGAGUUAUCGCCUACGUUGGCACCUAAAAAGCGGCGCCGAAGACGUCGCUCUGUCGUUACAUGCUCUGUCUCCGUCCUCGCCAACUGCUCCUUCACCAUCACCACACUUUGGAUCACCGCUGACGCCCUCUCCUACACCAUUUUCGUCUGACGUUAGGGAUGUGCAGCACGUGAGUACCAAGAGCGUAAAUUCAGAGGGGGGAGAGUCAUCCAGUGGAUUCAAAGGUGGAUAGAAAGUCAAGAUAGCGCUUGGAGUCAUCGCCUAUGUCGCUACGCUCAGAUCCAAUUGUUUGGUGUACAAGAAACGGCGAGACAAUAUUCAACGAUCCCAAUAUGGUUGUUCACAUGAGUUCUUGAAGAAAUUUAGCGUUUCAAUCCUCUUGAGUCGUUUGUGGGCGUUUUUGGCUCCUUCUUCGUUGUCAUAUGUUUCAUUGGAUGUUUCUUUUUCUUGAAUUACCAUGCUGUCAGUCAGAGGCUUCACACUCGUACAUUGCCUGGGAGGCUUUCUUGGUUGGGAUUUGAUGAGUCGCAGUUGUCCUCCCCGUUGUCGUUAGAGGCGAUUGUCGAUAUACUGCUGGGGUUUCUUGAAGAGGGUGUUGAUGGGUGUAACGUGUUUGAUGGGAGUUGGGUUUGGAAUGAGAGCUACCCUCUAUAUCAAUCCUAGAAUUGUUCAUUGCUAGAUGAUGGGUUUCAUUGUUCUGAAAAAUGGUAGUCCUAAUAGUUUCUACAUCAAGUGGCGUUGACAGCCUAAGCAUUGCAACUUACAAGACACGGUUUGCACAUGUGCACUUUCCAUAUAUCUGCCGGGAUUAAAAAAAGAAACAGAGUAUCCCAUGGAAAUGAUAGGUUGCCAUAUAAAUAAGAGAGAGACAAGAAUAAAAGAGGGGAAAUGUUUUUUUUUUUUUUUGUCUGGGAAAAAUAGGCUAAGGAAAUUUUUUUCAGAGAGAGCACGCAGAAUUUUGGAGGAGAGCGAGGGAUUUCGGACGGAGAUCGGGCUGCCACUUUAAUCAUCAAGAGAGGAUUUUUCUUUCGCUUCAUAGGUUAGUUUUCUAUAUAGUAUUUUUAUUUAACCUAGAUUUGUUUUUUGAAAUUUUAAUUUUUGAUUAAUUCUUUGUGUUAAAGUUUAUAUUUUUAAUUCCGAAUUAAUUAGUUUAGUUUUCAUUUAUUUUUUAGUUUGAAUGUGUUAGUGAUUUUAAUUCAUUAGUUUAAAUAAUCUUGUGAGAUAAAGUUUAUAUUUUUUUUUUAAUUUCGGAUUAGUUAAGUUUUAGUUUAUGUUUUAGUUUGAAUGUGUUUGUGAUUUUAAUUCAUUAGUUUAAAUAAUCUUGUGAGAUGAAGUUUAUAUUUUUAAUUUAGGAUUAGUUCGGUUUUAGUUUGAAUGUGUUUGUGAUUUUAAUUCAUUACUUUAAAUAAUCUUGUGAGAUAAAGUUUAUAUUUUUAAUUUAGGAUUAGUUCAGUUUUAGUUUAUAUUUUAGUUUGAAUGUGUUUGUGAUUUUAAUUCAUUAGUUUAAAUAAUUUUGUGAGAUAAAGUUUAUAUUUUUAAUUCCAGAUUAGUUUAGUUUUAGUUUAUGUUUUAGUUUGAAUGUGUUAAUGAUUUUAAUUCAUUAGUUUAAAUAAUUUUGUGAGAUAAAAUUUAUAUUUUUAAUUCCGGAUUAGUUUAGUUUUAGUUUAUGUUUUAGUUUGAAUGUGUUAGUGAUUUUAAUUCAUUUGUUUAAAUAAUUUUGUCAGAUAAAGUUUAUAUUUUUAAUUCCAGAUUAGUUUAGUUGUAGUUUAUGUUUUAGUUUGAAUGUGAUAGUGAUUUUAAUUCAUUAGUUUAAACAAUUUUGUGAGAUAAGGUUUAUAUUUUUAAUUCCGAAUUAGUUUAGUUUUAGUUUAUGUUUUAGUUUGAAUGUGUUUGUAAUUUUAAUUCAUUAGUUUAAAUAAUCUCGUGAUAUAAAAUUUAUAUUUUUAAUUCCGGAUUAGUUUAGUUUUAGUUUAUGUUUUAAUUUGAAUGUGUUAGUGAUUUUAAUUCAUUAGUUUAAAUAAUCUUGGGAAAUAAAGUUUAUAUUUUUAGUUACGGAUUAGUUUAGUUUUAGUUUAUGUUAUAAUUUGAAUGUGUUAGUGAUUUUAAUUCAUUAGUUUAAAUGAUCUUGUGAGAUAAAGUUUAUAUUUUUAAUUCCGGAUUAGUUUAAUUUUAAUUUGAAUGUGUUAGUGAUUUUAAUUCAUUAGUUUAAAUAAUCUUGUGAGAUAAAGUUUAUAUUUUUAAUUCCAAAUUUAUUUAGUUUUAGUUUAUGUUUUAGUUUGAAUGUGUUAGUGAUUUUAAUUCAUUAGUUUAAAUAAUCUUGUGAGAUGAAGUUUAUAUUUUUUAUUCGGGAUUAGUUUAGUUUUAGUUUAUGUUUUAGUUUGAAUGUGCUAGUGAUUUUAAUUCAUUAGUCUAAAUAAUCUGGUGAGAUAAAGUUUAUAUUUUUAAUUCCGGAUUAGUUUAGUUUUAGUUUAUGUUUUAGUUUGAAUGUGUUUUUUAUUUUAAUUCAUUAGUUUAAAUAAUCUUAUGAGAUAAAGUUUAUAUUUUUACUUCCGGAUUAGUUUAGUUUUAGUUUAUGUUUUAGUUUGAAUGUGUUUUUAAUUUUAAUUCAUUAGUUUAAAUAAUCUCGUGAGAUAAAAUUUAUAUUUUUAAUUCCGGAUUAGUUUAGUUUUAGUUUAUGUUUUAAUUUGAAUGUGUUAGUGAUUUUAAUUCAUUAGUUUAAAUAAUCUUGGGAAAUAAAGUUUAUAUUUUUAGUUACGGAUUAGUUUAGUUUUAGUUUAUGUUAUAAUUUGAAUGUGUUAGUGAUUUUAAUUCAUUAGUUUAAAUAAUCUUGUGAGAUAAAGUUUAUAUUUUUAAUUCCGGAAUUUAUUUAGUUUUAGUUUAUGUUUUAGUUUGAAUGUGUUAGUGAUUUUAAUUCAUUAGUUUAAAUAAUCUUGUGAGAUAAAGUUUAUAUUUUUAAUUCGGGAUUAAUUUAGUUUUAGUUUAUGUUUUAGUUUGAAUGUGUUAGUGAUUUUAAUUCAUUAGUUUAAAUAAUCUUGUGAGAUGAAGUUUAUAUUUUUUAUUCCGGAUUAGUUUAGUUUUAGUUUGAAUGUGCUAGUGAUUUUAAUUCAUUAGUCUAAAUAAUCUGGUGAGAUAAAGUUUAUAUUUUUAAUUCCGGAUUAGUUUAGUUUUAGUUUAUGUUUUAGUUCGAAUGUGUUUUUUAUUUUAAUUCAUUAGUUUAAAUAAUCUUAUGAGAUAAAGUUUAUAUUUUUAAUUCCGGAUUAGUUUAGUUUUAGUUUAUGUUUUAGUUCGAAUGUGUUUUUUAUUUUAAUUCAUUAGUUUAAAUAAUCUUAUGAGAUAAAGUUUAUAUUUUUACUUCCGGAUUAGUUUAGUUUUAGUUUACGUUUUAGUUUGAAUGUAUUUGUAAUUUUAGUUCAUUAGUUUAAAUAAUCUCGUGAGAUAAAGUUUAUAUUUUUAAUUCCGGAUUAGUUUAGUUUUAAUUUAUGUUUUAGUUUGAAUGUGUUAGUGAUUUUAAUUCAUUAGUUUAAAUAAUCUUGUGAGAUAAAGUUUAUUUUUUUUUUGGAUUAGUUUAGUUUUAGUUUGAAUGUGUUAGUGAUUUUAAUUCAUUAGUUUAAAUAAUCUUGUGAGAUAAAUUUUAUAUUUUUUUUUAAUUCCACAUUAGUUUAGUUUUAGUUUAUGUUUUAGUUUGAAUGUGUUAGUAAUUUUAAUUCAUUAGUUUAAAUAAUUUUAUUAGAUAAAGUUUAUGUUUUUAAUUCUGAUUUAGUUUUGUUAUAAUUUAUUUUUUAGUUUGGAUAUAUUUGUGGUUGUAAUUCAAUAGUUUAAUUAAUCUGGCUAAAUAAAAUUCAUGUUUUUAAUUAUAAUUUAGUUUAGUUUUAAUAUGUUUUUUUUUUUUACUUUGAGUGUGUUUAUGAUUUUAAUCCAAUAGUUUAAUUAAUCCCAUUACAUAAAGUUUAUGUUUUUUUAAUUCUAAUUGAGUAUAGUUUCAAUUUAUUUUUAUUUUUUUUAAUCUAGGUGUACUUGUGUGUUUAGCCAAUCCUAUGUUAAUUCUUGAUUGUUAUGUUCAAUUUAUGUGCUUCUUGAAUACUAGUCUUUAAUUUUUGGUGAAUGUCUCAUUAGCUUAUUUGAUCUAAGUUUGAAUAAUUUAUUGUUUUGAUGGUCUCUCAUAAAAUUUACUUGUCAAAGGCCAUUGGAAAAUAGUGACGAUUGGUCUCCAUUCUCACAACUUUAGUUUGCUCGAAUUGUCCAAAUUUUCACUUUGUGAAUUCGUUUUCUUCUAUUUUGCUAGGUAUUUUAUUUCUUAUGUUUUGUUAUUUUCAAUGUUUUAAAAACCGGACCGGACCGGCCGGUUCAACCGGUUUAACCGUCGACCGGUCACGUUUCCGGCUCGGUUCACUCUAUUGAACCGCUUGGCUAUUGGACUGGACACAAAUCGCCUGAACCGGCGAUCAAACCGGUGACCUGGUCGAACCGAACGGUUCAAAACGAACCGAACAGUUCAAAUUAGCCCCUCAUUUUGCAAGAAGGGCCCAUUGAAUUUUAUUGAUUUGUACCAAAGCCCAUGCUGGGCCUUGUCUUAUGACAAAGCCCACACACGCAACCCAACCACAUUUUAGGCUGAGUCUUGAGCCCAUUAAUCGUGGUCAUGCCUGUGCCCUGAGGAUGGCUUUUAUAGGAGUCAUUUGCAUCCUUAUUCCUCUCACUUUCCGAUGUGGGAUUGCUAACAUUAUCAAUGAAAAAAUUAUAUAACAAUCUCCACCAAGAGAGCUUGAACCUUGGACCUCCGGUACACUACUCUCCCUAAGAGGCCACUCGGCUAUAUGCAUUUUGUUAUCUACCAUGCCAAACUAAAUAAUAUAUUUUAGAUUUUAAAAUUUUUUAUAAUAUUAAAUAAAAAUAAUAUAAUAUUUUUAAAAAUUAUAAAAUUAGUUUAAAUUUUCAAAUAUGUUCACAUUUAAAUAUUAUACAUAUUUCAUCUAAUUAAAUUUAAAAUUUUAAUUUGAUAAUAUCAAAGAUAUAAAAUAAUAUUAUUGAUUUUUAAUUUAUUCAUAUAUAUUUUAAAUUUUUUAUAAUUAUUUUUUAUUUUAAUAAUAUAUAAAUAAAAAAUUGCAUAUUUAUGACGUCACUGGUUCGACUGCGGUUCGACGACUGGUCCGACCAGUGAACCGUGAACCGAUAACUUUUCCGGUUCGAUGACCGGUCCGGUUCUGAAAACAUUGGUUAUUUUCACAUAAAUUCCCUUUAUUUUAAAAUCAAAUGCUUUCCUCAAAAGAUACCCUUGAAAAUUUUAUGUUAAAAAAUUCAUUUAAAGUCCUCAAGAUCAAAAUCUCUUUUUUUUAAAAAUAAAAUGCAACCAUAUCUUAAUCAGUUUGCAUCAUUUUCGGCUUCCAAUGAAAAUUUUGGUUUUGAACAAAACACAAACCAAAGCUUGUGGUCCCAAAUAAAUGGAACAAUUCUAGGCUAAAUUCGUGUAUAUCAAUUGGGAAAUUGGUGAAACCCCUACAUAAGAAAAUCUUUUCAAAACUUAUUUUGUUAUCACCCUUGUUAUUUGUUGUAAUCAUGUCUAUUUAUUUUUUAGGAAUUAUAUACAAGAUGUAUGUGAUAAUUGAUGAUUUCGUAUACUUUGAUAAUUUUUGUUAUGCUAAUUAGAUAUGCAUGUUAGGAUUUCUUGUUUUAUUAUUUAUUAUCUAACCCCCCAUGUCCUAAGAAAGAGUAUUAUGAGUUAUCUAUGCUAUCCAGGUACGCCCCCUAUCACCUACCUUCUAAAUUCUAUAAAUAUGAUUGUCAUUGUGAAUUAUGUUUAUGUUUGAUAGUGCUUGAGUGUUUUGAUAUACAUGUUUCAUUAUUCGAUUAUUUCUAAUAAAACACAUGCUGAAUGAUAUACUAUUUGAACUAACUUAAUUUGAUGUCUUGUGAUAGCGCUUAAGAAGCAGUCCAGGUACGUACCCGAAAUCUUCUUCAUGAUUGUGAUUGGUUUCCUUAUUUAGUAUGUUAUUUUUUAAAAUCACCUAGCCUACCUAGGUAUCUAUAAUUAACCAAUUAAUUGUCAUAUUUCCCUAAACUUAGUCAGUAGAGACCUUUGUAGGGCUUAAAGGGGUGCUACCUUUUAAAUGUAUCUUCCCAAUAGGUAACCUGAUCCCCGGAUUUAGACUCGGUUUUUUCAAAGACAUGUUUUUCCAAAAACUAUGAAGUCAUUUUUUUUAGGGUUUUAUUUCUUGUUUUAUUUUUCCUUUAAAAUAAAAUAAAAUAAGUGGCGACUCCGACUUUUCUAAAAUUAAUUUUUCACAAAUAAAAUUGAGUCUCACCAAUUGAGUGGGAGAUCACGUGAAAAAUGCGGGUCCACACGAGUCAUUCUAGUUUUCCAAUAGGGAUAGUCGAUUCCUAUGAAAAAUGGAGCUCUAUGUUUUGUAAAAUUUUCAAACUCAAAUUUUAUUGUGGUUCGGCACUUCCUUGCCUACGUCCACUCUCCUCAAUCUCCUAACCAAGUGAGGGUUCCACUAACUUGAAGCUUCAACCAAGCUUCCAAUCUUUUUACACUUGGAUUGCGGCUCCAAUUGGCUCUUGCACAAUCUCUUCAAGAUUCAAACCUCUUGAAAGCUUUAACACUCAGUUUUUACAAGAAUGAAUCCCUCAACCUAUCUCAAUGAUAUCUCAAAUACAAAACAAAGCUAGGAUGACUCACAAGGGUGCACUAAAAGAUAUGCAAGUGAGGAUUUAAUGCACUAAAAAGGAAAUGAGAGCUUUUAAGGCAAGAACAAGUAGGUAGACAAUUGAUUACAAGUGUCUUUCUGUCAUAAAUGAAGUGGAGCUCUCAAUUUAUAGGUUUUCAAGCUUGGGAGCCAAGAACAGCAAAAAAUAGCCUCAACCGGUAGAGCUGGGGGUCGACCGGUUCACUAGCUGUUGGAGCAUUUAAUGUUUUGACAGGUUACCAUUGUCUCGAUCGAACCUCAACCAGAGGUCGACCAGGAAGGAGGAAACCUCAACCAAGAAAGGAAGGAUACUAAAAAAGAGAGAGUGAUUUUGACACUCCUCGAUCGGACCUCGACCGCACAAGGGCAACCGGUCAAUUGGUUCCCCAACCAAUUGAGCCGGUUGGCUAGAGCCUCGACCGAUUCAGCCUUUUGGCCCUGAAAACCUAUCUUUUUCACUUCUUUUCUUUUCUAACACUUAGGCAAGGUCUUUAGGUAAAUUAAUAUGCCAAUUUUGAAACGUUUUGCCUAAGGUACAUUUGAUAAAACUCGGGUUUUAAUGAAAUUACAACUUUAGAGAACAAAUCGAGUUUUCCAAAGAUGCAUAAAAAGAUAUGUAAACCCUAAGUGCACUCAUGCAUUCAUCUUACAUUUUUUUUUUCUUAUGAUUAAAAGUCUUCCGAAAGUCCUGAUCUUGUAUCCAUUUGGUCAUUUGAUGAAUUUCCGAAUUUAUACCUGAGAUUCUUUACCAUUCAAACCAAGUAGUCACUUAACAAUGGUUUGUUAUCAUCAAAACCUGAUUAGGAGAACCCAUUGGGUUAACACUCUUUUUUACGUGUCUUUGUUUUCCAUAAUGGUAACAUUUGACUUUCUUCUUACCUUAAGGCUUUGACUUACUCUAUUUGUGACUCCCACUAGAACCACGUUUUGUUGAUCUUCCUUUAGAAAUAAUUAGAGCCUCAGUUUGUUGAGAAGAUGAUAUUUGUAUUCCUUAUUUUUAUGCCUACUUUCUUCCUCAAGUAUAGUAGUCGCAACAUUAUUAAAGACUAGUAAAAAACUGAAACACCCAAAGUGGGGGUGAAUGAGUGAUUUUAAAAUUUAAAAUAAAGAUUUAUAUAUAUUAUCCCCAAUUUUUAUCUUAAGAAGUACCAGUGAUACCUUGUAUAACCUAAUAGGCUAUACUUGAAAUCUUUAAGUAUAAAAAUAUGAUUUUUAUCUUCUAGGGAUAACCUAUGAGAUGUUAGGGGUAACAAUGAUAAUCAAACAUUCAAUGAUAUAACAAUGAAAUGAAAAGAUAUGCAGUGGGCAUGAGAUUUUUAUGUGGAAAACCCUCAUACUAACUAUAAAGGGAAAAAAAAAACCCCCACAAAAUCUAAGACCUACUAAUCUAAAUCCAUUAUGUGAAAUCAGGUUACACAUAUUUACUUGAUCAUCUUACCUUAAAGAUUUUCUUUCCAGUACCUACAACUUGAUUCACAUUCACAAUGCAGCAACCUUCAAUUGCUCCAAUGGAUCACUUUAGCCUCGUCAAAGGGAUGAAGGUCUUCAACCCAAGAUUCAUAAAUCAAAUCCUUAAAUGAGAGAUUGGGAAUGGUGUGGUACUUUAGGCUUUCUUCUCAAUGAGAACCUCUCAAUAAGUUUGAGAUCACUUUCCAAUCUCCAGAAUCUCUAAAACGAUCUUUUAAGCCUCAAAGGGUUAUAAUGAGGUAUUUAUAAGAGUAAAUCCUGAAGAGGUUUGGUUUUAGAAGACUUCCAAAUCAUAUUUGCAUGAAAGAAUCUUAGUUGAAAAUUCAUGACCACUCUAGCCUACUUUGGUGGCUUGAACGCUUCAAGUGCUCAAGUAGUAUGGAACGCUUGAGCGGUCAUCAUUUAAGUGUUGUUCCCCGCUUAAGCAUUCUCUAUUUUUCAAAAAAAUUAUAAAAAUUAAUUUUAAAUUCAAAACAAUUAUCAAUCCUCUUUAUACCUCAAUAGAGUCUACCACAAGCCAAAUAUUUUUAAACAUAUCUGUGACUUCCCAGUUGGACGAAUGGCAACUCUUGAUCUUCAAUGGAAAGCAAGUCACUAUCUAAAAAGACUUCUAUAUUCAAACAUUAAAAAAAAAACAAAAUUAUUAACAAUUAAACAAGACUCUAUCUCCUAACAACUAGCAUUAUCCUCAAAGCACCAUUGGCCAUAUUUAUGAUGAGAUGAUCAUAUGAGUCAGGUAGACUUUGGAAUAGAAGUUCAACACAUUCUUUCUCUUCUAUGUUAUGCUCCAUAGCUAACAGUUGAUAGAACAAAAAUUUUAGAGUGUUAAUGUGUUUAGUCAUCGAAGUAGAUUCUGACAUUCAAAUAGUGUAGAAUUUUCUUUCCAAGAAGAUUUUGUUAUGCAAUGAUUUGGCUUUAUAUAGUUUUGUUGAAGUACUUGUUGUUGCCUUGAGAAGGUGUAGACAUGAGCCCACAUAUGUCAAUUUGAAUUAGCUCCAAUACCUUCUUUGCAUUCUAAGAAACUUCAUUUGGAAAUGAUUGUCUGUGAUGCUUCCCAAUAGCACAACCUUCACAUAUUUCAUUCUUUUUUUCAAUGGUUUAGGCAACCCUUGUACCACAUCUUCCUUUGAUAAAGCAUUUUCAAGCUAUUGAAGUUCAAGUGCCUAAAUCUUCUAUGUCAUAACCAAACUUCAAUAUUUUCCACUCUAAAAGCCACAUUUUCAGCAUAUUUGAAUACAAAAAUUUUUUACAAUUAAAGCAUUAAGGCUUCCCUUUGAACCAACAAUCUUUCUUAACAUGAUUGCUUCUUUUAUAAAUACUACACAUUGUGAGUGAUAAGGCUUCUUUGUUAGUGAACUUUCUUCCAUUGUUGAAGUUUUUUCUACCUCUUCCUCUUCCUCACCUAGUUCUACCACCUUUGGAUAUAUCACUUCUAUUUUCAUUGCUUGUAGGUUUCCUUUCAACUGAUUUUUUAGAAUGCCUCAACAAUCUCUACUCAUAAGUUUUUAAAGACCUAAAUAGCUCUUGUACAUUGAGUUAUGAGAGAUCUUUUGUUUUUUCAACCAUAGCCACAAUUGGGUCAUAUUUAUUAGGUAGGCUGAUCAAAAUUUUCUCAAUAAUUCUUCUGUCACUAAUUUCUUCACCAUGUGACUUCAUUUGAUUUAUGAACUCCAUAAAUCUAGAAGAGAACUCAUUUAGAGUUUAAUUCUCCCUUAUUUUCAUAUUUUCUAGCUCUCUUCUUAAAUAUUGAAGCCUUACUGAUCGGGUUCUUCUAUAUCCUUGGAACUCUUGUUGGAGGAUGUCCCAUGCUUCUUUACCUUUUGAAGCUAGCUCUCAUAAUUCUUGGGAAAACGCUAUUACCAACACCCUAUUGAAUAAAUAGGAGAGCUUUUGCAUCCUUUUUUUUUUCCAAUCUUUCAAUUGAUCUUUUUUAAUUGGAGUUAGUGUAGCUGCAUUUUCAUGUUCAUCAAAACCAUUUUCAACCAAAUCCUAAACAUCUUGAGACAUAAAUAAUGUUUUCAUUUUUAUGCACCAAAAAUCAUAGUUUUCUCCUUCAAAUAAUGGAAUAGAAGAGGCAUGAAAACUCAUACUUGUAAGAUUUGUGUUGGCCAUUGAUCUACUCUUCAAAUCCUUGGUCCUUCUACUUCAAUGUUGAGGGUUUCUAGCUACAUAAUCUGCUUGCAAAACAACAGCAACACUUGCUCUUCAUUUUAUCUUUCCUUGUUUGCCUUCAAAUUUUGUUGCUUCAAUGACCGCCAAUUCAAUUAUAUUGUGGGUUUGGAUUUGGGUCUUCAAGUGAAAAGAAACCCUAGAAUCCUCCUUCUCCAAAAUAGUGGAUAUUUCUUAAAAUUCCAUACAUAAGAGACAUGUUGCAAUAGAUAAGAGGACUUGAAAAAGAGAGAUAGUAUAUGUUGGUGAGACACCCUGAAAUCUGGGAACAAAAAACUGGAAACAACAAGUUCUUUGAUACUAGUUCUUUUGAUUGAAAGGUGGGUUCAUGAAACGGGUGACUUUGAUACUAGUUCUUUUGGUUAUAGUUUCGACUUGAAAACAGAGGAUGGAUACUGAAAGAAAAUGGAAGAGUAACAGCCGGAAACAAAGAAGUAAAACAGUCCCCCAUAAAACAAAGUUCUUUUGGUUAUAGUUUUUCACUUCGCAUUUCUCUCUUGGAUUUUUUUAUUUUUUUAUUUUUGUUAUAGUUUGCAAGCUACAAAACCAGAUGUUAAGAAAUUUAACUUGAAUAAAUCUCUCCACAUGGGAGCAUAACAACCACUCAAAACAUAAAAAACAAAAAACUAAUUUUUAUAUAAAUGCAACCCAAUAGGCACCUUGUGUUACAUCCGUGCUGCUUGUGCAUGCAGCCGUAUUUGCAAUGAUAGCAAAUCUCUUAAUCUCUAUAGUUUGAGUUUGAUAUUUAGGAUUGGGAUUAUAAUUGAAUAAGAAUGAAGGUAACUAGAAAAGUAAAAUCCAAAUGAUGAGAGUGAGUUUGGAUUUCCAUGAGAUUCAAUUUGUCAUUCUUAUUCUUAUUCUCAUUUCUAGAAAACGGUCUAAAUGCAGUAAUAAAAAUGAUGUGUGGAAAAGUGGGUUUCAUGCAUAAAAAGAAAAUAAAAGAUAAAAACUCCUAAAAAUAAUUCAAAUUUUAUGUAUUUUCAAGUAAAAAAUACUUACGAUGAUCAAAUUUAGUACCUAUGUCAUAUCUAGAUGGUCAAAUUAAGAUAAUACUUUUGAUCAAAAGAUGCACAAAAUCCGAAUUAUUUUUAGGUAAUUAAUAUAUUAAACUUAAAUUUUACAAAUUCUUUGUACAAAAACAACCUUUUUUGCUUUAUCUGAUUCUAUUCUAUAUUCCAUCAUUUCAAACAUGGGGAAUGAUAAUAUUGUGAGUUAUAUGAACGUAUUAUUGGUUUUCAGUUUCGGUUCUGAAUUUUAUAGUGACAACUACAUGGGAACACAUAAGCAUAAUCAACACAAGGAUAAUAUUUGAAGGACACUCCGACAUCUAAUAGCAAUCACCAUAUAGAGUACAUGGACCCGGAUGGAAAUCAAUGGAUAAUAGCAUUCACCAGCACCUCAAGUUUGCAAGCUGGCUUCCUUCUACAUCAUGUGGAUGCAAUGAGGCAAUCAAAUUUUAUUACAUCACACGGAAAAACAGGAAGGGGAAAACAAAGAAAACAAAAUAAAUGAACACACGCAUGAAAUUAUUUCAGUCGCAAGCAACCUGCAUGCAUCAUAUGAAAAACAGAAGCAGAGGCUUAGUAGAGUGCGCUUAUGGCGUUCUCGUCAUGGCAGCACCCGAAAGUGAUGUACUUCUCCAUGAUCUGGAGGCACUCUGGGCACCUGAUCUUCUCUGGAAUCCUUCCAACUUCGCUCGGGAACUCAAAGCGGCAGCAGGGCUGAGAAUCGCUAUGAAGCUUGCUAUGGAAAUCCAUGCAAGCAAUAUCGAAGCCCUUUGGAGGCACGUCGUCUUUCCAUAAAUUGUACUCGGUAAAGGUGGGCAAAACAGUGCUGCUGUGGCCAUUGACGAACACAAAAGACCCCUUGCUCAGUACAGCCCAUCCUCCUUCUUUGUCAUAGCUGAGAAGUUUCUUGAUUUCCCUCAACAUGGAGUCAUCAUCGUCGCCCCUCCCUAGCUGGAUCUUGGAGAACAACAUGCUUUCCAAUCGGGUCCAGAAGAACCAAACCAUGGUGAGGUCUUGCCAGCAGUAGCUGAGAUUCUCCGUGGUGAUGCUUGUUAUGCAUUUCCGAACUUGCUCUCUCUUGUUGCUCUUUCCCACGUACACCAUCUCUAAGGGGAUCCGUGCAGCCGAUGCAACUGCCUUUGCUGUGGUUGUGAAUUUUCGGAUCCACUCCAUGUCAGUCCCUCCAUACAAGUAAAUGAAUUUUCCUUCUUUGACCUGAUGGAACAAAAACAUUCCCAGGGUAUUUUAAAAAUGUUCACGAUUGGUCUCAUAUUAGGGAAAAGUGAGUUCAUUCAUGCACAUCUAAAUAUGUAUUUAGAUUGGUAAAGGUUAAUUACCCAGUUCAGUACAGUUGGGUCAAUGCCAUCCACCAGCAGCUCAAGCCUCCAAGUCUCUUCCUUCCACAGAGCUUCCUCCCUCAAACUGGUGAACGGAAAGGCGGUACUCCCCCAUAUCCACAUCAUGUGGAUUGCAUUAGGGCUCACCACUCUUCCUUGUGGAUCUAGCACCACAAGGAUGGGCUUGUUCCGGAAGUGCCACACCUCCUUGAUGAACCUGAUGACUGCCUUAUCAAUCAGUGUAGGAGUGUAUACUGAAUACCAUGGCAUUGUGGCCUGCAGAGUCUCAAACCGAUCUUGCAUGGCAUCUGUCCACAUGACUGAGCGGUCCACAACUGGGAUCCACACAACUUCGUACUGACUCUCCAUCCUAGUCCCGUGGACCCGAGACUCAUUAUAGAUCUGUUCCAGAAUUGAAAGCUCGUCAUGGGAGAUGGAUAGGCCUGAUAUAAGCAGCAAAACAUUCUUCCUCCUCAGCACAUCUAUGUUAACCUGCGGCAUUAAAGUUAGAACUUUAGGUUAGUAGUAACGAAGGGGAAAAAGAAAAUGCACAUUAGAACUUUUAAGUCUUGGUAAUAAUUUUUUUUAUAUAUGACAGUUCCAUGGAAUAGUGCUACUGCCAAUGCAGUAAUGCAGUGAUGUGUUUGGAGAGUGAACCCUUCUCUUUGUAGAGCCUUCAAGCAGUGGCUGCACGUCAUCCUUGGGAGAAAUCAGUGCCCUGAGAAUCUUCAUGUUGUCAAUGUGAAUACUCUCAAAGAGAUUCAGAAGCAUUUGAAAAGUUUCAGCAUUCCACUUAUCAUCUGCAUCAAACAGCAAUCCCUUGUCAGAUUUAAAAUCCAUUUCAUUGGUAUUUACAUUAGCUGUGCAACACUUGCUUUCAUAAAUUUGGAAAGGGUUGGUGGUCUUACCUAUGUAUUGGUAACAAAGAGUAAGUUGCUUCUUCAGAAGGUCCAGUAUGCUAUUGAUCUUGUGAGCCAUGGUGGACAGUUCCCAUGCCUCAUUUGUAGCAGAUGUCCAGUACCUAAAAUCAUUGCAAUUGUCAUAAGUAAAAUGAUUGUUGCCUAACCAGCAUUCCCAAUGGAUUAAGUGGCAUAUCAUAUAAUUCUUCCACAAAAUCAGAGGCAUUUAUUUUUUGUCUUUGGAAAAUUAGCAAAUGGAAAAGAUAUUUAGUUGGCAAUACGUUGCUUUACUAAGGUUGAAAGAUUGAAGCACGAUAUAUCAGCAAAGACAAUAUAACAUACUCAUGGCCCAUGCUAGUGAGGGUUGUAAUCUGAGUUGCGCAAGCCACAACACUCCUGAUGGUCCAGUAAACAGCAGUGGGGAUAUGGGUCAUUGCUGUUGCUAAUGCUGGUACGUCCUGGCUUAUAUACAUGGACGGGAGCUCCUUGAACUCAAUAAUGCACCUGGUAAUUGCCACCAUAGCCCUGAUGAGAUUGUUAAGAGCAUCAAACCGUGGUUUCAGUUGACCAGAGUGCUCCAAGAUGAUGGGCACUUGCUUAAGGAUUGCCAUUGAUUUCGCAAGUUGGUUGGAUGAAUAGAUCUGAGCAAGGAGCCAGAAUUCACCAUAGUUCACAGCAAAAGCUGAUAGGGUUAGCACCAGCUUUGCUUCCCAUGAAUAGCUUGUUAACAGGUCGAAUAUAGAGAGUGUCGUUGCAUGAGCAUCACCUCCGCCCAAACUCUUGUAUGCUAUCUGAAUACAAAUUGAUUGACCACAUGUCAUUGUAAAGAAACAAAUAAAACGUAAUCAUGCCAUGUGUAUAAUGCAUAAGGGAUGAGUUUUCUGCAUGUCAUUCUAAGAAAUGAAUUUUUGUAGUUCUUUGUAAUAACCUCGCAGGAAAUUCGAUCAAUGGUAAACGACAGUGCUUCGAGCAAAGCAAUGAAACUGGCUUGAUUUGUCCUAUCAUCAGAAGUUUCAAUGCGUGUUUGGGCAGCCUGCAAUGAAAUCACGAGUGGAUUAGCUACUAUAAAUGCAUAGAAAAUUUGUAUCUGCAUACCCUUUCGUCCAAGUAUCCUUCAGUAAUUAGGAUUGUCAAAUGCAUAUGCUCUUAACUAACACAACAAACUAAAACGUGGACGUUCUAAUGUUCUUGAAUUAAAUGAUUUCACCCCAUGGAAGCAGCUCGAGCAUUUGGAAAAAGAAGAGUGUUAUUGUGAAGGAGUUGAAAUUUUGAAAUAGAUGUUAUCCUCAAAACAUAUAGUAGGAAAAAGGUGGACUUCGGCAGUAAAAAGUUUGUUAUUCUGAAAAUAUUUUAGAUGUAGAUAAAUGACUAUAUGGCGUAAAAAUUUCUUGUGUUUUAUUUUGUAGAUAACAUGGGAGUUGGCUAGUUAGUAUGACAUUGUGCUGGCUAGGAACCCUUGGUUGGUAUGUGCAUUUACUUUUGUUUUGGCUAUUGAAAAAAAUGAACAAGGUCAAGUAAUUAAAAGCAGCCUGAACAAAAGAAACUUAGGCCUUCACUACAGAAGAGGUUAUAGGAGUGUUAUACCGAAAUUAAGGGAUCAACACCCGGUGUAGCCCGAUUCAGGAUGUCUUCCACGAGUUGGAAAAGAGGCUUAACAUCAAACUCUCGGCCAUCAGGAGCAUGGGUUGCGUGAAUUUGUUUCACCAUCAUGUUGUCAUCAGACAUGGUUAUCAUACUCCUAUCAUGCCUGAUCAGUUGAUGUAAGGGAACUGGGUUGAUUUUGGUGGUUAAUUCGUGAUGCAUUGGAGUUGGGUUGACCGCUUGCUGCCCUGUAGAUGGGUUGACCGCUUGCUGCCCUGUAGAUGGGUUGACCGCUUGCUGCCCUGGAGAUGGGUUGAUCAGUUGCUGCAUUGCUGAUGGUUUCAUCAGUUGAUGCAAUGGAGUUGGGUUGAGCAGUUGCUGCAAUGGAGUUGGGUUGAGCAGUUGCUGCAUUGGAGUUGGGUUGAUCGCUGGAUGCAUUGGAGUUGGGUUGAUCGCUGGCUGCAUUGGAUUUGGGUUGCUGAGUUUGUUGGGCAUUUGCUGCAAUGGACCUGUGAUGGCCUUGUUUGUAAUCUCCAUUUUGGGUAUGCAAAGGAAGGCAAGUAGCUAAGAUUUGAG